rnacentral:rRNA from 1 species
GGGGCAUCGGGAAGAAAGCUUGCUUUCUUUGCUGGCGACCGGCGCACGGGUGAGUAACACGUAUCCAACCUGCCCUUUACUCGGGGAUAGCCUUUCGAAAGAAAGAUUAAUACCCGAUGGCAUAAUGAUUCCGCAUGGUUUCAUUAUUAAAGGAUUCCGGUAAAGGAUGGGGAUGCGUUCCAUUAGGUUGUUGGUGAGGUAACGGCUCACCAAGCCUUCGAUGGAUAGGGGUUCUGAGAGGAAGGUCCCCCACAUUGGAACUGAGACACGGUCCAAACUCCUACGGGAGGCAGCAGUGAGGAAUAUUGGUCAAUGGGCGCUAGCCUGAACCAGCCAAGUAGCGUGAAGGAUGAAGGCUCUAUGGGUCGUAAACUUCUUUUAUAUAAGAAUAAAGUGCAGUAUGUAUACUGUUUUGUAUGUAUUAUAUGAAUAAGGAUCGGCUAACUCCGUGCCAGCAGCCGCGGUAAUACGGAGGAUCCGAGCGUUAUCCGGAUUUAUUGGGUUUAAAGGGAGCGUAGGUGGACUGGUAAGUCAGUUGUGAAAGUUUGCGGCUCAACCGUAAAAUUGCAGUUGAUACUGUCAGUCUUGAGUACAGUAGAGGUGGGCGGAAUUCGUGGUGUAGCGGUGAAAUGCUUAGAUAUCACGAAGACUCCGAUUGCGAAGGCAGCUCACUGGACUGCAACUGACACUGAUGCUCGAAA